ensembl:lncRNA
GAACAACCCAGCUGGGCAUUGCUGUUGGCGAUUGGUGCAGGAAGGCUGAAGCUCAUUUCCUUCAGCUGUGUGGCAUCAGAAACAGAGGCAAGCAGCUGAAGCUCACACACCUUUGAUAAUUAAAUGCUAAGUAACGACCAGCUGCAGAGAGCAACUAAUCUCUGCUUGGAAGCACAGCCUGGAGGGAUGCGAGAGGCUUUGGAGCAGCUUAUUUCUCUGCACAAGGGAGAAUGAAAGAAUCUGACUGAUGGGUGCAGACUUGGGUGACCAAAGUGGCUGCCAGAGCAGCUUCCAGCCUGAAUGCCAACCACACCAAGAACAUUUGUACUAAAACUGAAGCAGCGAUUUCGAGCCCAGGAUUUCUGCCUUUCUCCCCACCCCAUGCAGCUCAGGCCGGGUGAUGGAGCAGCUGGGUCAGGGAGCACAGGGAUACUGCAGUGCAGCUCUCUCACAGCAGUUACUGAGGACAGCAUUUAGAAACAAAAGCAGAGGGAGGACUCUGCUGCAAAAUCACAACCCAGAUCCCCACCCAGCACACAAGAGGAGAGAUGCUGAAGUUAGACAUGGAGGCAGAAUACAAAGACAAGCCCUCACUGCGGAGCCAGCUGGCCCUGCAGGUCAGGCGUUGCCAGCCCUCCUCACAAAGCGAUUUUCUGCAGUGCGUUUGCGUGUGUGCCGUGCAGCAGCACCGUGCAGCGAUGCAGCGCGGAGCCGCGUGUGCUCCUGUCGCCCGGCUGCUUUGCUGCUCGGCUGCGUGCAUCGCAGCAGGGCUCAGCGGGAAGGGCUCCGGCAGGCUAUAUUUAGCAGCAACAACAAAACAGGCAGCCGGAUCAGCUGACUGGGCGCAGAGAGCACGGGUUAGUUGUAGGCAGCACGUAUCCUGCGCGGAAAGCAGGGCGAGAGAGAGGGAGAGAGAGCAGGGCACGGAGCUGGGAGGUACCCCAUCACCCGCAGGGGCUGCGGCUCAGCCAUGGCUCCCCGGAUAAGAUUGAGUGUUUCAAAGCCUCUCCCAACCAUCUGCGAAACCCACGAGGAAGCAAUGGAAGACCUAACCAGCAACCCAAAGCACACUGCAAACACUUCAACCAACCCAGACUUGUACUCUAGCGAUGACUACAUUCAAUCUAUCUGCCACCUUGCCAGGCCCACCUUCCCAGGCAUUCCGGAAAGCAGCCAUAGGGUUCGGAACAGAAGAAUCCUGCAGACCCUGGAAGCCAUGUCAUGGUCCCCAUCCCAGAAAGAAAUGUCAGCAUGUAAAUUGACCAAUUUCAUCUCAAAUGUGAUGCCACUGGGAAAAGCUACAUCUGCUCCUGAUGAUGCAGAAGCCGACUUCUGGUCUAGAGAGGACCCCCUGGCACAGAUCUACAGGCGCACAGGAAACCUCUGCUCCUCCAAGGGUUUGUGGAGCAAAAGCUCCAGCACUGACUCCUCACAGUGCAUCUCCUCCAGCCACCUGGACUCCCUUCAUCCCCCAGCCAUGAAAGAAGAAGCCCCAGGAAAACCACAUUUCCCACGGAUGUUCAGUUUUCCAAGGUUUCCCUCUCCAAGGCCAAUGCAGAAAGAAACGCUCUGCUCAGAGCUGAGGUGUCUCAGAAGGGAUGAGGGAGCGGUUGUAGGGAGCAAUCACAGUCAAAAGGAAGAUGCUCCCAGGUUUAUUAACACUGAAGAGCUAUUGCUGUGCUCAGGCAGAGGGAAGCUACUAGGAAAUCGGCUCUUGCGCUGCUCUGUAAGGAGGCAGAGUUUGUUUGAGGCAGUGGGUGCUGACGAAAAAGAAGGGAGAGAAACUUCUCACUGUGACAAAAACGCAGUGGGUGAUGUUCCCAGUAAACAGAGAUACUCUGAGUGCUUCCAGGCAGCUAAAAAAGCUGUGAUCCAUAAUUGGAUUUCAGAGCAUAGAUGCAUGUGGAAAGAAGCAAAGAUAAAGGCUUGUUUGCUCCCAGCCAUUGCUGAAGUGUGAAAAAGUAUCUGUUCCAAAUAAUGUUGUUUGCAAGAAAUAAACACCCUGUGCUCUAGAAGCUCUCCCUGGAGUCCUUAUGUGGAAAACAUGGCUUGAAUGUGCAUGCAAGUCAGAAAACCUUUUGUGAUCCAUCUUACCCCUCAUCAGUGGGCAAAUGGACAACUUGGAGUCCAGUCCUCUGAGAAAGCAGCAAUUAAUUCUCAUUUUGGAAAGACAACGGUUCAUAAAGCAUUGCCCCACACCUAUUGCCUUGAACUGCCCUGAGCAUGGAGGAAAUUGAAGAGCCAUCUGUCUUGAAGAAGUAAUCUGAAGGAAAAAGAAACAACAACCCACACACCUACUGCCAUUUCACAGCAGAUGCCAAGCAGCCAGAUGUUUCACACGCUUGGGUACAGUUAUUCUGAAAGGAACAUUCUGAAUGGUGCUUGGACAGUACUAAAUAUGCCCUCACUGACAUAUGCAUUCACUGAGACACACAGCAUAGAUCACUGCAUCAACACCAGAAUACCACUGGGUCAGUCAUCUGGUAGUGCUUUCAUGUAAAGGAAUACUUUUAAUAGCUGUAAGAAGCCUGUGAUGAGGAUGUGUUAGAGGACAACAUGAAAAAUACUGAAACUGCUCUGGGUGGGACUUUUCCCCUUCCUUAGCACUGCAAAAGUUUAUGACUUUCAUGUCACAAUCUAACCUUUUUGGGGAUGAGUGCCCUGGGUGAGCAUUGCUAACGCUGGUCUGGUGCUGCAAGAAAUCAGGGUCCCAUCGGUGUCUGCACUGCUGUCUGUGCUGGGUGGGAGCACAGCUGGGAGCUGAGAAAGCUCUGUGCACGUAUGGAUUGUGUCUGUGUUUCCCUUCAUCUGUGUGCUUCUCUAGUUUCCCCCACCUGGCCAUGCUAACCACACUGACUUUUCUAUGCCUGGUGCUGUGAGACCGAAACAUGAAGGAAAAAAAAACAUCACAAGAAGUCCCCAGGACAGCCCCUUUGCUGCUCAUGCUGUGUGGGAUGUCUGCAGGAGGAGCAGUGCUGCUGUGGGAUCCAGGUCAUCCCCUAACCGCCUCACUGAGACAACUUUGUCUCCUGAAGCCUUCACACACUGUCACAGUCCCACAGUCACAGCGCACAGCACUGCAAGAGGAGCGGGUGAGAGAACUGCUAAGUAAUGCCAGUGCAGUUAUUGCUGCCACUGCCACAAAUCAAUCCUUUGGCACGGAGCAGACAUGAGGACUGGGCUGUUUGCUCAACUGCAGCCAGGACGGGAAAUACCACCGCAAAGCUGCCAUUAUAGAAGUGCUCACAGGUGGCUUCUGAAACACCCCUGAGUAGAUUAAAUCAGACUGCAACUUCUGCCCGGUACCAACACAAGUGUAAAUAUACUCAAGGAUCAAAAGGUGAGAGAAUCUGAACUGCUCAUUCUCACAUCUCUUACCUCAAAUAUUUUUAUUCCUGUUGAAACUCAUUAAUGCUCCGGAGCCAAACUGCUUCUCAUCUCCAUUUUCAGACUAACCACACAGCAAGAACAAAGGCGAAGGCGGCUGCAGCUUUUUUAGGGUUUACAGAGAGCCUGAGCUGAACAAGGCCACACGGGCUCUGCCUCCCCCUCUUCUGCCCUUCCCUCUUGGGUUUGUAUAGGGAUGGAGGACAUGUUUGCCCUCAUUGCUAUGCGGACAUUUCGGUUUCUGUCCAUGUUUAAGACACUAAUGCCUAGCAAGUUUUGUGCCAACUGCAUGUAUCACCGUGUUUGACCAAGAAAGCAAAUAAAACCCUUACACCAAGCAGCAUUCUCUGUUCUUGCAGGCCCAUGAGUGAACCUCCAGGUGCAGGGCAGGCUGUGACCAAUGGCUCAGGGCUCACUACACAAACACCUGCUCAUUGCACAGCAGGCCCCAAGCACAGGAGCAAUGCCUUGUAACGCCAUUCUGCCUGCCCAGAUCCAGGCCCAGGCAUUAGGCCUGCAUCAAACUGGUGAUGCUGUGCAUUCUCAGACCCCCCCCCGACAAGGCUCCUGAUGAUAACAUCCACCCUCACAGCCAGACCAGUGCAUGGCACCAUGCAGCUGCUUCAGAGUGCCCCCAGCACUGAGAUUCCUCCUCGGCUGCCAUAUAUUCCUGUGAAUUCUCAAACUUUCCCAACUGAGCUCCCUAGAAACCUAAAACCCUUGGGGGGGGGAGGAAGCUUCGGAGUGCAGCAAAGAGAGGCACAGACAAGCUCAGGUGAUGUUGGCAUCCAAAUCCCACCAGUAGCUUUCAGUCUCAGCCUUCACAACCUGUUCACAGACGAUGUGUAGGCUAACAUACAACUUCAUUCAUGUGGUCAUGCAGACUUUUACUGCUGCAAGCAAUGAAUGCACUUGGACACAAAAAACCAUGACCAGAAAACCAAAGACAGGCAGAAACAAAGCUGUCCCCUUCUUUUCUCAUCAAUGCCACAACCAGCCCUAAGAGAAUUCAACAGAAUUAGCACAAAGAAGCGGCGGAAGAGGAAAAGGAGGGCUGUAAAGGACAACAGUUACCAUCAGCUCAGAGCAAGGAUGAGGAAGCAACAGCUCUGAGAGCCUGGCUAAUGGUAUCUGGGUAUCAGCACAGUGCAGAACAGCCACAGCACUCCAAGGAGCAAAUGCACUGCAGAAAACACAGACCUGUAUUCCCUAUGGAUCGGGCAACAGAGCAGGCUGAGCAGGGGAGCGCAGCACAGUCCACUCUGCAGCAGUGACACCCACGACCUUCCACAAGUUGUGCUCUAUAGAGCGGGAACAACUCUUAGGGGAAGAAGGAGGAUUCGUAAGAUCAGCCAGACCUACAAGAAGAAACAUUUAGACAGAACAAGAUUAGUGGCAGUGGCUGUAAUCUUCCAGACAGCAAAGAACUGUGCUGCAGACAGGAGAGCACGUGCUGCUGCCCUGGGCAUGUUCUUCCUCGUCAUUCAUUUGCAUAGUUCCUGCAAUACACGAGUAACACAAAG